rnacentral:rRNA from 1 species
UGGGGAAUAUUGCACAAUGGGGGAAACCCUGAUGCAGCGACGCCGCGUGAACGAAGAAGGUAUUCGUAUCGUAAAGUUCUGUCCUAUGGGAAGAUAAUGACAGUACCAUAGAAGAAAGCUCCGGCUAAAUACGUGCCAGCAGCCGCGGUAAUACGUAUGGAGCGAGCGUUGUCCGGAAUUAUUGGGCGUAAAGGGUACGCAGGCGGUUUAAUAAGUCGAAUGUUAAAGAUCGGGGCUCAACCCCGCAAAGCAUUGGAAACUGAUAAACUUGAGUAGUGGAGAGGAAAGUGGAAUUCCUAGUGUAGUGGUGAAAUACGUAGAUAUUAGGAGGAAUACCAGUAGCGAAGGCGACUUUCUGGAAACAAACUGACGCUGAGGUACGAAAGCGUGGAGAGCAAACAGG